rnacentral:rRNA from 1 species
CGCACGGUAAACGAUGGAUGCCCGCUGUUGGUCUGAAUAGGUCAGCGGCCAAGCGAAAGCAUUAAGCAUCCCACCUGGGGAGUACGCCGGCAACGGUGAAACUCAAAGGAAUUGACGGGGGCCCGCACAAGCGGAGGAACAUGUGGUUUAAUUCGAUGAUACGCGAGGAACCUUACCCGGGCUUGAAUUGCAGAGGAAGGAUUUGGAGACAAUGACGCCCUUCGGGGCCUCUGUGAAGGUGC